GAUGAACGCUGGCGGCGUGCCUAAUACAUGCAAGUCGAACGAAGAUCUAGCUUGCUAGAUCUUAGUGGCGAACGGGUGAGUAAUACAUAAAUAAUCUGCCCAUAUGACUGGGAUAACUAUUGGAAACGAUAGCUAAUACCGGAUAGGUUGAUUGGAGGCAUCUCUGAUUAAUUAAAGUAGGAUUUCUACACAAAUGGAUGAGUUUAUGGCGCAUUAGUUAGUUGGUGGGGUAACGGCCUACCAAGACGAUGAUGCGUAGCCGACCUGAGAGGGUGACCGGCCACACUGGGACUGAGACACGGCCCAGACUCCUACGGGAGGCAGCAGUAGGGAAGUUUCGGCAAUGGGCGCAAGCCUGACCGGGCAACGCCGCGUGAGUGAUUAAGGCCUUCGGGUUGUAAAGCUCUGUUGUAAGGGAAGAACAUUCAGGAUAGGAAAUGAUCUUGAACUGACGGUACCUUACCAGAAAGCCACGGCUAACUACGUGCCAGCAGCCGCCGUAACAC
rnacentral:rRNA from 1 species